UACGUAGGGUGCGAGCGUUAAUCGGAAUUACUGGGCGUAAAGCGUGCGCAGGCGGUUCGUUGUGUCGGCGGUGAAAGCCCCGGGCUUAACCUGGGAAUGGCCGUCGAAACUGGCGAACUGGAGUGUGGCAGAGGGGGGUGGAAUUCCGCGUGUAGCAGUGAAAUGCGUAGAUAUCAGGAGGAAUACCGAUGGCGAAGGCAGGUCUCUGGGCUGACACUGACGCUCAUGCACGAAAGCGUGGGGAGCAAACAGG
rnacentral:rRNA from 1 species